CUAAGGUGACUCCUUAUCAAGGAAGUAAUCUGCAGACUAUCUUUGUUUAAACUUGCAACCUGCUUUGUCAAGGAAAACUGCCUAUGAAAUUUUCAUUAUAAUAGACAGCUUUUCAUAAUGAAUGAAAAACAGCUAUUAUGAUUGAAAACAAAUUGCUCUGAAACAUAUUCUUUGAAACAAUGUGCUGCUUAAUUGUAUUUUGGAGGAGGGGGAGGCUAAGGCAAUUCUGUUUAAUUGGUUACAUUUUUCAGUUCUAUAAAUUAAUUUGCACUACCCAAUAUCACUUAAUUUUUCCCUAGGAAAGCUUUUGCUUGCCCUAGCAAUAUUAUAACUGCUAAUUCAAUUACACUGAAAUUGUUUAAUAGAAAAUAUAAUUGCUUAUUCAUACAGAAUACCCAUUAAAGAAGUGCAAAAGCGUGAACCUGAGGGUUAGUGCAUAUUAAUACUUUGGGAAUAAAGAUGGGAAUGUUGUGCAGAGAAGGUACUGGCUGAUCUUUAAUUGUUCAUCACCUGCCUCCAAAAUAAUAUGAAUGGACCCAAACUAAAUGACCACUCAUUACAAGUUUCAAUUUAGGAGCUUGGCUGGGGUCAGCAGAUUGCUUAUGCUGAUCUCAAUGAUUUGAAGUUGUGAUUACCAUAAGCAAUUUAAAUUUUAUUGAUCUCCCCUUCUGAAAGUUGUAAUUGAGCAUAGAUGUUGGACCCAGAGCUCUCCAAACUAAAUUGUACUCUGAAGCACUUGCUGGAUUCCUGCAAGAAUCAAUAAGCAGUCAGUCACAUUAACAAUGAAAUAGGUCCAUUAACAUACGGUGCUAUUGGUGAAACUUUAUUUAGGAAGGGUGUUAGUUCACUUCAUUGUUUUAUCAAUGGAUCUUGGCUGUACACAGAAAAGUAUUGCUUUAAUAUGUGUAAUAAACUUGUAUGAAAAUGAAAUUACAUUUUAUAAAUAUAUGGAAUGAGACUAGGUAGGCAGUUGAGUCCUUAUAUGAGAGUCAUUGUGAUUCAUAUCAUCAUUUUACUGUAAACAGAGGUUUUAUAUGACUGGAAUUGCAGCUUGCUUGCCGCAGUGCUUUGCAGUAAUUCUGAAUUUUUAUUCCUCCUUAUUAGAUACAGGGUUUCCCUCCAUCAAGGUUAAGUACGUCUCGAAGUCUCCAUGUUCAGUGGGUGGUGGUGAUCCAACUUCAUUCACGGUAGAUGAGAAACUCCUGGGGGGAUGGCAGAAAAACAGGUACAGAGAACCUAGGCAGAACAAAGUUGUGUUCUAAACCACCCACCUAUUUCUGCACUGUUAAAUAUGAGAGAAGUACACUUUCGAUUUUGACAGCCAUAUUUUCUUUGAGCUAUUGUAUUUUGGGGUAACUUCGUUACCAUAGCUUAGCCAGCCUAACACUUUCUUAAAAUGUGUAAUGCUUUUUGCUAUAGAUGCUAUUCUAGAGUUUCAUUGACUCGUUCAUUGUCCUCUGGAGGAACUGUGAGAAUCUGAGAAGUGGCUAGGUCUGACUUCUGAGAUCAUUUAUGAUGAGUAGAACUCUCUUAAAGACGC
rnacentral:lncRNA from 1 species